rnacentral:rRNA from 3 species
CAACGCGACCCCAGGUCAGGCGGGGCUACCCGCUGAGUUUAA